rnacentral:tRNA from 1 species
GCCUGGCUGGCUCAGUCAGUAGAGCAUGUGACUCUUGAUCUCAGAGUUGUUAGUUCAAGCCCUGUGUUGGGUU